rnacentral:rRNA from 1 species
AGAGCGAACGCUGGCGGCAGGCCUAACACAUGCAAGUCGAGCGCCCGUAGCAAUACGGGAGCGGCAGACGGGAUAGUAACACGUGGGAACGCGCCCUUCGGUUCGGAAUAACUCAGGGAAACUUGAGCUAAUACCGAAUACGCCCUUACGGGGAAAGAUUUAUUGCCGAAGGAACGGCCCGCGUCCGAUUAGCUAGUUGGUGAGGUAAUGGCUCACCAAGGCUACGAUCGGUAGCUGGUCUGAGAGGAUGACCAGCAUCACUGGGACUGAGGCACGGCCCAGACUCCUACGGGAGGCAGCAGUGGGGAAUAUUGGACAAUGGGCGCAAGCCUGAUCCAGCCAUGCCGCGUGAGUGAUGAAGGCCCUAGGGUUGUAAAGCUCUUUUGUGCGGGAAGAUAAUGACGGUACCGCAAGAAUAAGCCCCGGCUAACGUUCGUGCCACGCGAGCCGC